CGUCACACACUUGUGCCCUUGGAUGCCCCAAAGCCCAUCCUCCAGCUGGUCCCUUUAUCUCUGGGGCUUUGGAAGAUCAGGGAAGAGCUGUCUCUGCCUCCAAGCUAAUAUUAAGAACAGAAUCAUGGAUAGAAGGCGCCGUCAGCUCAGCCUGCACCUAGAAUCCUUUACGGCCCUCUCUCUAUUUUUCUCAUUGCGUUCUGGGAGCCCAAAUCUGGCUUUUCUUGGCCACUUUUCAUCCCCAUGGGUCUUGGGAAGGCCUGUUUUCUGUGUUCCCAGACCAACCCUGCCCAGAGAGGUGAGGAUGGAACUACCUCAUUCAGCAAAUUAGCCCCAAGUCGGAGCAUUGAUUCAUGGUUCCUAUCAGACCAGGCAUCAUCUCUGAAGUCUUUGGAAAUCCCAAUCAAUCCAUUCCUCAGCUGCUUUCUCAAGGCAGUCCCCACCCCCACCCUACCACCCCUGCCCAUCUCACUAGAGGGAGCUUUCCAAAGUUCUCUGCCAGGGAGAUCUCCUCCUGCUGUGUGCAUGUCCAAAAGCUUUGAGAGAUGGAGAUGAGCCAGAAACCACAUGGGUCUGUCUCCCAUGGUGUCCUGUCCAACACUGGGCUAUCCUGACCCCGGCUCUCCCAGGCUGCCCACCAAAGGCUUAAUAGGGCUAGGUCAGUCCCAUAUGAGAGACAGGUUAGGGCAAGUCUUUGUCAGACUCCAUCUGCUUAUGCAAGAUAGGGUUUGGACUGCUGUCCCUUGUAUGUGCAUUGCAGACUCUCUUUGCUAUCCAGGCAUGCCCUGCCACCUGGGCCUCCAGCUCCUCUGAACUUUCCAGAGCCCUGCACAGAGCCCUCGCUUGGUGCCAGUACCUCCUUUCCCUUUGUCCAUCUUCCCUAGAGAAGCCUGAGCCAAGCGUGACUCUUUUCAGCACUACCCCUGGGUUCAGCCAGCCACUUUCUUUCUCGACUACAGCAAACACCAUCUACCCCAUCUUAGCCUAGAGAACCAGCCUGAGGAGGCUGGGAGAAAACAAUUGACCCAGUGAGCAAGGAACAGCUUCUAGCCAGAAACCCCUGCCCUGAGAGCCCACCUUUCUUCAUCUUUCCCAUUGAUGGCUUUCGGCUUGACCCUUCCGUCUUCCAUGGGGGCAGAAUUCUACCAGCAUAAUUCAUGGAUCUUUCCCUCUGUUUUACAUUGCUAAUAAUGGAUGUUGAUCUUGAAUCUUUCAGCAUCUCUUCCAUUGAAUUAGAAUGGCUUUCUCAUAGUUUAUUUUAGAAAGAUAUUCAAUAUACUAAAAAAAAAAAAAAGUGAUGCCUUUGACUACAACUAUGGUGUCUGCCUCUUAAGGAUGCCAGGAAGGUUAAGUUUGGCUGCCCAAUAUCAGUCUCAAGGUGAGUCAAAACAGGUGGGCCUAAGAGAAAGAUUAGGUGUGGGAGUAUAGAAAUUGUCUUUCAAAAGCGG
rnacentral:lncRNA from 1 species